CAUACUGCCGUGAAUGCGUUCCCGGGCCUUGUACACACCGCCCGUCACACCAUGAGAGUUGGAGAUACCCGAAGCCUGUGAGCUAACAAACGAGGCAGCAGUCGAAGGUAGAAUCAAUGAUUGGGGUGAAGUCGUAACAAGGUAGC
rnacentral:rRNA from 1 species